rnacentral:rRNA from 1 species
UACGAAGGGUGCUAGCGUUGUUCGGAAUCACUGGGCGUAAAGCGUGCGUAGGCGGCCAAGUAAGUCUGACGUGAAAGCCCGGGGCUCAACCCCGGAUGUGCGUUGGAAACUGCUUGGCUGGAAUUCGAAAGAGGAAAGCGGAAUUCCUAGUGUAGAGGUGAAAUUCGUAGAUAUUAGGAGGAACACCAGUGGCGAAGGCGGCUUUCUGGUUCGUAAUUGACGCUGAGGCACGAAAGCGUGGGGAUCAAACAGG